rnacentral:rRNA from 1 species
GAGUUUGAUCAUGGCUCAGAUUGAACACUGGCGGCAGGCCUAACACAUGCAAGUCGAACGGUAACAGGAAACAGCUUGCUGUUUCGCUGACGAGUGGCGGACGGGUGAGUAAUGUCUGGGAAACUGCCUGAUGGAGGGGGAUAACUACUGGAAACGGUAGCUAAUACCGCAUAACGUCGCAAGACCAAAGAGGGGGACCUUCGGGCCUCUUGCCAUCGGAUGUGCCCAGAUGGGAUUAGCUAGUAGGUGGGGUAACGGCUCACCUAGGCGACGAUCCCUAGCUGGUCUGAGAGGAUGACCAGCCACACUGGAACUGAGACACGGUCCAGACUCCUACGGGAGGCAGCAGUGGGGAAUAUUGCACAAUGGGCGCAAGCCUGAUGUAGCCAUGCCACGUGUAUGAAGAAGGCCUUCGGGUUGUAAAGUACUUUCAGCGGGGAGGAAGGGAGUAAAGUUAAUACCUUUGCUCAUUGACGUUACCCGCAGAAGAAGCACCGGCUAACUCCGUGCCAGCAGCCGCGGUAAUACGGAGGGUGCAAGCGUUAAUCGGAAUUACUGGGCGUAAAGCGCACGCAGGCGGUUUGUUAAGUCAGAUGUGAAAUCCCCGGGCUCAACCUGGGAACUGCAUCUGAUACUGGCAAGCUUGAGUCUCGUAGAGGGGGGUAGAAUUCCAGGUGUAGCGGUGAAAUGCGUAGAGAUCUGGAGGAAUACCGGUGGCGAAGGUGGCCCCCUGGACGAAGACUGACGCUCAGGUGCGAAAGCGUGGGGAGCAAACAGGAUUAGAUACCCUGGUAGUCCACGCCGUAAACGAUGUCGACUUGGAGGUUGUGCCCUUGAGGCGUGGCUUCCGGAGUUAACGCGUUAAGUCGACCGCCUGGGGAGUACGGCCGCAAGGUUAAAACUCAAAUGAAUUGACGGGGGCCCGCACAAGCGGUGGAGCAUGUGGUUUAAUUCGAUGCAACGCGAAGAACCUUACCUGGUCUUGACAUCCACGGAAGUUUUCAGAGAUGAGAAUGUGCCUUCGGGAACCGUGAGACAGGUGCUGCAUGGCUGUCGUCAGCUCGUGUUGUGAAAUGUUGGGUUAAGUCCCGCAACGAGCGCAACCCUUAUCCUUUGUUGCCAGCGGUCCGGCCGGGAACUCAAAGGAGACUGCCAGUGAUAAACUGGAGGAAGGUGGGGAUGACGUCAAACCAUCAUGGCCCUUACGACCAGGGCUACACACGUGCUACAAUGGCGCAUACAAAGAGAAGCGACCUCGCGAGAGCAAGCGGACCUCAUAAAGUGCGUCGUAGUCCGGAUUGGAGUCUGCAACUCGACUCCAUGAAGUCGGAAUCGCUAGUAAUCGUGGAUCAGAAUGCCACGGUGAAUACGUUCCCGGGCCUUGUACACACCGCCCGUCACACCAUGGGAGUGGGUUGCAAAAGAAGUAGGUAGCUUAACCUUCGGGAGGGCGCUUACCACUUUGUGAUUCAUGACUGGGGUGAAGUCGUAACAAGGUAACUGUAGGGGAACCUGCGGUUG